GAUGAACGCUGGCGGCGUGCUUAACACAUGCAAGUCGAACGGGAAACCUUUUAUUGCCGCUUCGGCAGAUUUAGCUGGUUUCUAGUGGCGGACGGGUGAGUAACGCGUGGGUAACCUGCCUUAUACAGGGGGAUAACAACCAGAAAUGGUUGCUAAUACCGCAUAAGCGCACAGGACCGCAUGGUCCGGUGUGAAAAACUCCGGUGGUAUAAGAUGGACCCGCGUUGGAUUAGCUAGUUGGCAGGGUAACGGCCUACCAAGGCGACGAUCCAUAGCCGGCCUGAGAGGGUGAACGGCCACAUUGGGACUGAGACACGGCCCAGACUCCUACGGGAGGCAGCAGUGGGGAAUAUUGCACAAUGGGGGAAACCCUGAUGCAGCGACGCCGCGUGAAGGAAGAAGUAUCUCGGGAUGUAAACUUCUAUCAGCAGGGAAGAUAGUGACGGUACCUGACGAAGAAGCCCCGGCUAACUACGUG
rnacentral:rRNA from 1 species